GCAGAUUUUGGGGUGUCCCUGGCAGAUUUUGGUGUAUUCCUGGCAGAUUUUGGGGUAUUCCUGGCAGAUUUUGGGGUACUCCUGGUAUAUUUUGGGGUGUCCCUGGCAGGAUUUGAGGUGUCCCCGGCAGGUUUGGGGUGCCCCCGGCAGAUUUUGGAGUAUUCCUGCCAGAUUUUGGGGUAUUCCUGCCAGAUUUUGGAGUAUUCCUGGUAUAUUUUGGGGUGUCCCUGGCAGGUUUUGGGGUGUCCUUGGCAGGAUUUGAGGUGUCCCCGGCAGGUUUGGGG